UUGGGCUCCUUUCUAGCGGACGAGGUUGGCCGUGCGAUAGGUUACCUUAAUUACACUGUUUCCUCCUCCCUGGACGCAUUUCCCAAAUCUCAUUAUAGCGCAUGUGACACCCCGUGACCGGCCGGAGUGGGAGGUUAGCACAAAGUCCCAGCAGGACAGCCAGCUCCUGGCGCAGCCACAGGCCUCUGCCCACGUGGUCCUGCGGGAUGCCAGGCUCAGUUCGGACCCUCCCCCGUGGCCCGGCCUGUGGGGCGGCCGUCUCUGGGCCUGAGUUCGCUCCCACGGGGGGCCCUGGCCCCACCCUUCCGGUGAGCUGGCCCUCUUCCUCCUGCACUUUGACGCCUGUGGCCUUGCAGUCGGCAUCUAUUUUGAAGGUUCCCCUUGGAUCAUGUCCCACUUGAUUCCAUGUCCCGUUCCUCUGGACGAAUGUGCCGGCGCCUGCUGGGCGCUGCCAGGCUUGCGGACACUUGGCUGCUCUGCCGGGUGUGCUCUCUCUGCCCGGGUGAGAGCUGUCGUGUGUGAGCGCCGGGCUUGGGCAGCGCAUUUCUCUCUCCAUCCAGGGUUAUCGGGCCCGAGCCUCCCCGCCUGGCCUCAGGGGCUGGCGGCCCUGCAGAGGGUGCUGGCCUGGAGCAUCUGAGGGGCCUGGCGGGGGCGGCAGACCUGUUUCGCUCCUCAGAUCCAGAGGCCCUGUCAUACCUUAGAAGAGUUUUGAAGACCAGCCUCCAAGCCCAUUAAAAACCUUCCGUGACUAAAGUUUCAGUGUGAACACAGUCCUCCGACCCAGCUGGGUCUUGGCUCCAUCACUGGGGAGGGGACGUUGGUUUCCAGGGGAAAGUGUGAGUGGGAACCUGGGAAAAAAAUUCUGGAUGGAGGGCAAGUUCAAUGAAAAACCAAGCCUCAAACUGCAGCCUGAUGUCACUUUCCAAAGCCAGACGCAUGUUGAGGAUUAAGCCAGUUAUCUAGUAAUUCUGGAAAAACUGCCAAGAAGUUAUUCUGGAAUUAUCUGGACAACACAUAAGCUCAUCCACUUUAUCAUCCAGACCUGGCAGUUCCCCAACACAUUUUGUAGUAGGGGAACUGGCAAAUCCAAUGGUGCCAUUUGCUAGUGAAAUUGAUAACUCCUCUUAAUCAUGGUGAAAUUUGUUCUAUAUAGAAGCUGACAUCUAGAAACAUACUGGAAAAAAAAAAGGAGCUGGAACUCAAAAAAAAAAAAGAAACAUUGGAAUUUCAGUUCUUUGGACCCAUAAAGGGUCAUGGUAUAAAGCUUGAGAAAUAAAAUGAAAGUGAUUUCAUGAAUUUGUUUAUAGGAAAAAACAGUUAUCAGUGUGAAUGUUGUAAGAAACAAAAAUACUACGUGUUGAAAUCCAGCGGUGAGUAACUUUUGUUUUUCACUCAUUUACAUCGAUCUAAGCAGUGGUUAUGAAGGUCUUAUUUAUACAAAAAAGGAAACAUGGUUACUGUUCAUUAAUCAUGGUCCACUUAAGUACAUUUUUAUAUCCAUAUUUUAUUGCUUUGUAAUAAUUUGUAAUAAAUUAAUAAACUUAGCAUGGAAA